rnacentral:rRNA from 1 species
UACGUAGGCAGCAAGCGUUGUUCGGAGUUACUGGACGUAAAGGGUGUGUAGGCGGUUGUUUAAGUUUGGUGUGAAAUCUCCCGGCUCAACUGGGGGGGUGCGCCGAAUACUGAAUGACUAGAGUGCGGGAGAGGAAAGUGGAAUUCCUGGUGUAGCGGUGAAAUGCGUAGAUAUCAGGAGGAACACCGGUGGUGUAGACGGCUUUCUGGACCGUAACUGACGCUGAGACACGAAAGCGUGGGUAGCAAACAGG